rnacentral:snoRNA from 1 species
UGCCUUAAAGUGUUGCCCUUUCAAUGUUUCCAUCAUGAAAUGGGUGUCAGUCAAGGCUGACAUGAAUUCUUGUGGUUGUCUUUGAGAUGAGGAGUCACCCCUGAUUCCCCUGAUAAAGCCUGCAAGUACAUGU